AUUAUCCUUAGUUUAUAGCGAAACUAAAUCCAAGGAAGGGUUGCAAACUGGGCUGGAACCCAAAGUCCAUGUCUUUCAAAUCACUGGCCAAAGGAGCUUCCAGGAUUUGAACAGUUUUAAUGAAUAAAUAAAUUUGAAUCCUGAGACCAAAUCUCAGAACUGGCUAUUACCCUUUCAAAUUUAGAAGCAUUCAUUUCAUAGCAUAUUGUGCAAAGUAGCACAGUAACUUGUUUAAUAAGGACAUACAACUUGAGGUCAUCCGGUGGAAGGCCGAGGUAUAUCUACUUUGCUCUCCACUCUUCUGGCAUUGGGGCCCCCAAAGGAAGCAGUUUUCCAGGUGGAAAGGUACUGUCCAUCUUGGGGCACUCCUGGGAGAUCCAGAUGCGCAGUGGACAUUGAUCAACGUUAAUCUUGCUGCGGAAUCCCCACGCAACAAUGUUUCCCCUGUUGUUUCAAAUGUGAAGAACCGCAGCAGGGGACUGCUUCCUGGGAUGAAGCUCUGACGUGGGCUCCCUGCUUAACACAAUCAUUCCUGCUAAGCUGAUACCUAGAAAGUCUGCCAUCUUUUCAAAGUAAUAAUGACAGCCACCAUCACCACUUCCGCUAUUUAGUCACAUGGUCAAUGUGACACACAGUGUUGCAAAUAUCUAAAGGCUCAUGUGAUCCUCACAACAACCUUCUGCAUGAUUCAUGGUAACAAAUUCCAUUCCUGAUAAGAAAACGUGCUGUAGAAAGCAUUUCCUCCCAAUUUACACUGCUACUGAAUAACAUGAGUAUUAUUCAAACGUUAAAUGACAUUGUUCUAGAACGUUAGCUGUCCAUGAGGCACUUGUAGUUUUUGAUCCAAACGUCCCAUACCUGUCCUCUCUUUCUCUCAACUCUUUAUGGAGUCAGGCUUCCUUUCAAAUGUCUCCUGGUCCCCUCUUAUAAAAAUCACGAAUAUUGUAAAGUCCUUAGGACUUAGCCCAACCCUCUCUUCCAGCCCCAACUCCUGCAACACCUUCUUUGUCCCAUGACAAGUCCAGCUUGGGCCACCCAUGCUUCCUCCAUGUGGCCUGGCAGCUUUGCCUGCCCAUUAUUCUGCUCAUUUCUCUAAUUCAGCUCCUUUGUGAAGCUGCUUCUUACUCUUAUCAGGAGUGAGCUGUAAUCUCAAAGCAUCCCCACGCUCCACCCAACACACACCGCUCUGUUUACGUUUCCUUCUUUGCUUGGGUUCUCCCCAUAUGACCCUGGUAACUGCUGGGGGGAGACACUUGUUCUCAUGCAUCUCUCUCUACUUAAUUCUCAUAUAGGGCCUGACACACAAUUGUCCCUCAAUGAAUUUCAUUCUCACUGGUUUCUGCAAAGUUCUUAUUGGCCACCAUUUUGUUUGUGUCAUGGUAAUCAUCUCUGCAGACACAUAGAACAAGGCCCAUGUUGUUUGGUUAUCAAGUUUCCAAACCUAAGUAACUGAGAACAUUGAAUCAACUGGAUUAAACUAGGAAAGCUGGACAAGAUGGUUCUAGCCUCUACAAUUAAUGUAGCCACUCAAUGGCAUCAUCAAGGACCCAGGCUCUUUCUACAUUUCUUCUCUACAGUCUCCAGCAUGUAGGUUGAUGACCUCUUGCAUCAUCAGGUGACUGUUAACAAUUCCAGGAAUCACAUCCAGGCACAGAUCUAUCUAGGGAUAAUUACCUGGCUUUUAAAUCAGAAAAUCCUCCCUGGGUGCUCUCAGCAGGACACCCCUACCAUGUCUGAGUCACGACUCUCCAGAGAGAGCUGAGUGAUCCACAGGUAAGUGCUGCUAACCUCUAGGGAUGAUGUGAAAAUCACUUUCCUCAUCUGCUGGGGAAAUAGGGGAUGGCUGUGUUUUUGAUAGACAAUCAAAGAUGCUUUCUAUAGGGAGUUCACAAAUAAGCGUAUUUUCACAAUAUGAAAUUCACACAUGGACUUAGAAUAUAAAAAGAGUUUGGAAAAAGUGUUUUGUCAUGAUGAAUGCAAUGAUUGCCGUGAUUCAAUCAAUGUGCUACUUAUGGGUGAUUAAUUAUUGGAUAAGUUUCAUAUUAUAGGAGACUUUGGAGCUGCACCUGAAUUUACAGCGAAUAAGAUCCUGACUGCUGGACAAAGGGGGAACGAGUGUGUAGGCAAAUAAAUGACCACGUGGAACAUGGAGAAAGAGGUGAGUUCAAGUGAUUCCUUCAUUGUGGCCCCACAUAGGACUUGUUAGAGAAUGGCAGGACAUGGGGUAAAAGAAGUGACCUCUGCAUUCGGGCUGUCUUUGGAGCCCAUCAGAACUGUGGACACCCUGUGAUGGAGGUGGCCUUCUUCUCCUUACCUUGGAAUCCGUGGCCAGCACCUUGCAGAUGUUGGGUUGUUGAUGAAUGAACAGACAUUUGCAACUCAACUCAUAUGUUAAAAUCACUCUUUCACUCUUCAGAGGCUUUGGGUUAACUGACACUUAAAUGUCAUUUGGCCUCUCAGAUUCAGGAAGUCGGGUGUAUUCCAGAGUAACAGGCUCUGACAUCUGGAGACCCUAGCAAAGCCCCUCCCAGAGUCUCUCCCCAUGGCCGACCAUCACCUAGGAUGCUUCUUUCUGGUUUUGUUUGAAGAAAGGUUCAGGAAACAAUGCUUGGGCUUCCGAGCCACAGGCUACCCUGUCUUUCUUGGAGGCCGUGAGUCCUCAUCCCUCUGCCUGAGUAGUCUCAUCCCACCGCUAGACAGGCCUCAGUGUGCUUCCCCACAUGGAGUCCUGAGUCUUCUGUCUUAUCAGGCUCCUGGCUCAGGAGAGCUCUGCAGUCCGCUAACUGGGGUGAUCCACAGAGGACGGCAGGAAGUCACACUGGAAAAGGAUUUUAAGGACACCAUUUUAACCAUAUGCCAUUUAUAAAAGAGGCAAAUGAGACCCUAAAGGACAGGACUAUUUAAAGACAGAACAGCAAUCUAGAGCUGCAACUCAGUCUCCGGGAUCCCUCCCAGUGUCUCUUGCACAUGUUAUGUAUGCUUUUGUAUCUUUGCUUAACGUCAAGGCGCGGUUGUGUUCAACUUCCUUGCUAAAUGGCUCAUUCAGGUUAUUGUGCCAUGAGCUUAUUUAUAAUUAUUAAGUCCUUACAACUGUAGCAAUCGAAUCUCUGCUCCCAGAGUGCACUGUGCUCUCUGCAGGGAGCCGAUCCGUUUUAUUCCUUCAGGGCUUAUCAUUAAUUCUCUCGUCAUCUUGAGUUUUAUUAUUCUCCUCCUUCCUCGGGCAAAAAAAUGAACCCAAGCAUUGAAUUGCUUCAUCACUACAGACAGUAAAAGUUUAACUUCAGAUGUUUUCAAGGCACGUCCAUUUCCUCCACUUCUGGCAGCGUCUGCCGCAGGCAUGCUCAGGGCCCCAUUCUUUCCCUUCCUCCUUCAUCUCCCAUCUCAAUUUACGGCCACAUUCAAUUAAGGUUUAUUGAGCAGAUGCCAUGCUGGAUGCUUUGUAUGCAUGACAUCACCGAAUCCUGACAAUGGAUUCAGUGUGCUGAAUAUCAUCAUCCCCAUUCUCUAAGAGAGAACAAAAUAUUGAGGCUCAGGAAGUGGAAGUCCCCUCCCUGGCCAGGCUUGCAGAAAGGACAGGAGUGAGCCAAAAUGAGAACAUAGGUUUUCUGCUUUGGGGGAAUUUAGGUGAAAUGAUGGUUUUAUACCCUUUUUCUGGCAGUGGACUUUUGUUGUGACCCGCUGCCUGCUAGCACCAAGAUCUGGUUACCUCUCAUUCCCGUGGGUCACUCAGACGCCUGCCAUGAAAACCCUUUCUUUCUAGUGGGGAUGGCCAGACCUGACAAGCGGACAUUUCUUCCUCCUGAAGUGGGGACAUGAAGGGAGCUGACUCAGAGCCGAGAGAGAUCCUCUUCCUCCUCCGCAGGGUCUGAUGGGGAGACCCAAGCACACUCUGGGUGGCUGCGGCUGACAGCUGAGCUGAGGGUGGGGGAGGGAGCCUGUGGUCAGAACUCCUGAAGGACCCGAGGUUGCCAGAGCAGGCUGCCUGGAGAGGUGGCCCAGAAGAAUGACAUGUGAAUCCCACAUGACUCAGCCCUCUGUGCAGGUAAUGGAACCCUAAUGAGACGCGAGCUUAUUUAAGAAAAUGCACAGGAAGAAUUCAUCAUUGAUGUGGCUAUUUUGGGAGAUGAAAGAGAGUUUGAAAAGGAGGAGCCUGUGAAAUGUUUUCCAGCUGAGGGAGUGCGAUGGGAAACAAGGUUUCCCUUCAUAAUUGAACACUAAAAAUGAAAUGUGUCCCCAUCUUUCAAGUCUGAGGAUGGACAGAGCGAGGCGUUGAGUACAGAUGUGGGCAGCUCUUUGCUUCCUGGCUAUACAGAGUGUGGUCUGGGGAUACAGGGAUUUGGGGAGGGAUUUGCUUCUUUGUUUCUUUAUUGUUGCUAAGAGAAGCCAGGCAAGCACUGUCCCCUGGGAUUGGAGACGGUGGUUCCCCAUGUCUGUGCCUAAAUGUGACACGGCUUCCCUUAUGAAAAGAGGUGUUGCUAUCUGACGUCUCUGGUUACCUCACCGCUUGGUGAGAGCGGACAUCCCUUCUAAUCACUUGCAGGGGGGUCCAUGUGGAGCCGUGAUCCGCUCUGGGAAGAUGCUUCGCAGGAAGGGUCUGUUGCCUUUGAUGAGAUGGAUCAGAUGUGGGACCGACCUGUGUUCUUUCAACUUCAGUGAAGUACCAAAGGGCAGGAGGAAGAGGCGAGUUUAAGCAAAGACAAGAUUUAAGGCCCACGAAACUACAGUCCUGGCCGCUCUGCUAAUUCCCGUUGUCCUGCGGCAGCUCUGACCAGCCUUUCUUCCAGGCCACGCAGAAAAGAGGCCCCAACACCUGACGUUGCCUUCUUGUUCCUGAAUCUCUGAUUCGGUUGCUCCCAGCCUUCCUGACUUCUGAUUCCACAGUCCAUUCACUCAGCACCUGUUCAAGAAGAGCCCCUCGGCCUCUGCUCCCUUCGCUGCCCCCCUUUUGUGACGCUCCACCUGUGGAAGCAUUUGCUUCACAUUCCCAUGCCAGUCUCCUGCUCUGGCAUCCUCCCACCGGGAACCACUUCCUCUGUCCAUCUCUCCCUGGGGUUCAGCAAUUCCUGAUGCCUUCUGAGAUAUAUUUGUUGGCAGGGAUUCUCAUAUAAAGUCCAAAUCAGUUUCUUUUCACUCUGUAGAUAUUUACUGAGACCUCUUAAUAGGCCCUAAGAGAUUCUGUGGAUACAAGUGUGCAGUUAGACCUGUCCACCGCCUUCAUGAUCUUCAUCAUUCAACCAACCUGCAAAGAAUCUUUGGAAGAGAAGUGAAGGGCAUUACAGCCAUCAAAAAGGCAAAGGGUUGUGACAAACCUCAUUUGAAAGGGAAGGCUGAGAUCUGGGUCAGGAGGAAGGAUUCAUUAGGCUGGGGAAAAAAAAAAGAAAGUGCCAAGUAGCAGGAACCAUGUGUGUCAGGGCCCUACCGCUAGAAAGAGCAGGGCGCUCCAGGGCCAGAAGGAAGAUGGUUGGGCUCCAGCACACGCAGUGCUUCAGAGGCAAUCCUGGAGUGACUUUUGCGGAAUCUUCUGGAGUGCAUGCAAGAGUCCAAAUGCCUGAUCCGCAUCUCUAAUUAUUGAAUCAGAGACUCUAGGGACGGAGCUCUGGCAGGGUUUUCACCCUUUCCACAGCCCAUUACCUUUGUGAUGUUGCUUUGCAGUUCUUCCCAGCAGAGGUGGGGUCUCUCUAUGACCUUUGGAUCAGGGCUGGCCUUGUGACUCAGUGAGAACAACAACAGAAUAAGGGGCAGUGUUCUCAUGUCAAUCACGAGCCCAAGACUCAGGAGGUAGAGUAGGAUUCUGCACUCUCUCUUGGAACCUGCUGCCAUCACAUAGGCAACAGCAGGCCAGCAUGCUUCAGAAUGAGGAGCCACAUGGAAUGGGGCCCACGUGUCCCUCUAGGCCACCCAGCCUGUAGCAAGCUAUCCCCUAACAUGUGAGUGAGGCCAGCUUCCCUGACCCACGACAGGCGUCAAAAGUCCAGAGACCAGUACGCGAACCCUGUAAUCAUUUGAAUAAAAUCAACUUAUUAAGCCAUUGAAUGUGGGGUG
rnacentral:lncRNA from 1 species